rnacentral:lncRNA from 1 species
UUCCAGGACGUCAUAAUUAUUUGGACUACUGGUACAGCUGGAUAGUAUUAUUUUCAAAACUAAUUCAACUGCACAUGCAAAGGUAAUAUAAAUCUGAAUAGUCACUCAACUUUAAAAAUAGCUAAUCCCGGAUACAAGUGUACGAGCAAUGUACUUAUUGUGUUUUAUUUGUGUGCUAUCAAUUACAAGUUUACUUUCCACAGCAGUCACUGAGAGAGAGAGAGAAGGUAUUUCACUUCAUAGUUCGAGAUUACUCUGAUGUCCGACGGCUGAUUUGCCAGACAAACUUGGACCGUGGGGGACUUUUAUGCUAGUAUAAUUAAAUUACAAACUUAAAUAGUCCCAGUCCCAUAUAUCAUAUCGAAUAUUAUUGGAUGCCGAAUUGACUUUUAAAUAGGUGCCGAUUUGACUAGAUGCCGAUUUAACCAGGUGCCGAUUUGACUUUUUCUAUGGGUGCCGAUUUGAC